rnacentral:rRNA from 1 species
UACGUAGGGUCCGAGCGUUGUCCGGAAUUAUUGGGCGUAAAGCGCGUGUAGGCGGCCAGAUAAGUCCGCUGUGAAAUCUCGAGGCUCAACUUCGAGCUGUCGGUGGAAACUGUCUGGCUAGAGUCCGGAAGAGGAGAAUGGAAUUCCUGGUGUAGCGGUGAAAUGCGCAGAUAUCAGGAAGAACACCCGUGGCGAAGGCGGUUCUCUGGGACGGUACUGACGCUGAGACGCGAAAGCGUGGGGAGCGAACAGG